ensembl:lncRNA
GGGGAGCACCGUAGGGCAGUUGAGGUGGGGAGCACCGUAGGGCAGUUGAGGUGGGGACGCACCCACAAUGUUAAUCUGCCCCGGCAUGUACCGGCCACUGGAUAGGAGGAGUGAGUGGGAACGUGCAGGCCAUCUGAUAGGAGGAGUGAGUGGGAACGUGCAGGCCAUCUGAUAGGAGGAGUGAUGGGAACAUGCAGGCCAUCUGAUAGGAGGAGUGAGUGGGAACGUGCAGGCCAUCUGAUAGGAGGAGUGAGUGGGAACGUGCAGGCCAUCUGAUAGGAGGAGUGAGUGGGAACAUGCAGGCCACUGGAUAGGAGGAGUGAGUGGGAACAUGC